UAGAAUGUUUUAUUGUGCCAUGUCAAAAUGGCCCAGUGACCAGGCAGACCCCUCCCAGGGAAAUCCCAGUAGUCCUAACCAAGGGACACAUCCAGGAGGAGUCAACAUACCCUCCCACCUUGCAAAGCAGCUGUGGGUUUCUUGUUAGAGCUCCAGCCUCAUAAACGCCUCCAUGGCCAGCCAUUCAUUUUCCACAAAUGUCAUAUGCACACAAACUCAACAUACAGAACCCACAACAAUCGACUUCUUCCCCACCCAAAAUCUAUUGUAAACAUCUACAUAAGACUACAAUAGGGCUAAAGGCCCCAUAAUGAGGCCGUUGUGCCGAGUGAGCAUCUGAUUUGAGAGCGCCAGCGGUGCAGGGCCGCACCUUCCCAUCGGAUCAGGCUGCAGCAGGUUGGGACAAUCAAGGGGGUCGCCACUGGGCAAGCCACCUGAAGGCAGCUGCUGGCUCUCAAGAUGGUUGAGGGCGUGAGGUGAGGAGGACGCUGGAAGGAGAGUGGCGGGGGGCCUCACUCUCCCGCCCCAAUGCUGAGGGCUGUCCCGGCAGCACAGCGUGCGCACCGCGCAGUGUAGUGGAUGGGCAGGCACACAGACCGCCCUCGAGCCGGUCACUCUAACCUCUGCUCCCCGGUUUCCCCCUCUGUGGAAAGGCCAUCUCAGAACCUGGAUUUGAGUGUUGUUGUGAAGAUUAGAUGAGAGAAUGCAUGUGAUGCUUUCAGCCCGCCCCCUGGCUCAGAGCAAACUCUCAGAUGGAGAAAAUGCUAAGACCUUCCAUGAAGACAACAAGACACAAUGUCCUAAUGAGGGCUUCCAGUCUGUAUGGUGACACAAGUAACUACAACACAAAAGAAAAUGCACAGUGCCUACAGAGAUGGAGACAUGUUUUGGACUGGCCUCAGAGGUGGCCAUUGGCGGAAUCACAUCUGAAGGCAGGCCAGGUUGCUGAGCAAAUGGACCUGGAUUGGAACCCUGACUUCUCUACCCCUUGGGCGUGUGGUCCUUCAUCUGUAAGCUAGAGAUAAUGACUUAGCCCCUCGCCUGAUGGGGUGCCAGGGGGAUGAAAUGAGAUAAUGCAUGCCAAGUUCUUAGCACAGAAUCUGGCACAUAGACGUGCACAAUAAAUAUUAGCCUAAAAUAAAACGAAAAUAAAAG
rnacentral:lncRNA from 1 species